UACGUAGGGGUCGAGCGUUGUCCGGAGUUACUGGGCGUAAAGCGUGUGCAGGCGGCUCAUUGCGCCCGGCGUGAAAGCCCCCGGCUCAACCGGGGAGAGUCGUCGGGGACGGGUGAGCUUGAGGGUAUCAGGGGCUGGUGGAAUUCCCGGUGUAGUGGUGAAAUGCGCAGAUAUCAGGAGGAACACCUAUAGCGAAGGCAGCUUGCUGGGACGUUACUGACGCUAAGGCGCGAAAGCGUGGGGAGCGAACAGG
rnacentral:rRNA from 1 species